GAUGAACGCUGGCGGCGUGCUUAACACAUGCAAGUCGAACGGGAAACCUUUUAUUGAAGCUUCGGCAGAUUUAGCUGGUUUCUAGUGGCGGACGGGUGAGUAACGCGUGGGUAACCUGCCUUAUACAGGGGGAUAACAGUCAGAAAUGGCUGCUAAUACCGCAUAAGCGCACAGAGCUGCAUGGCUCAGUGUGAAAAACUCCGGUGGUAUAAGAUGGACCCGCGUUGGAUUAGCUGGUUGGUGGGGUAACGGCCCACCAAGGCGACGAUCCAUAGCCGGCCUGAGAGGGUGAACGGCCACAUUGGGACUGAGACACGGCCCAGACUCCUACGGGAGGGAGCAGUGGGGAAUAUUGCACAAUGGGGGAAACCCUGAUGCAGCGACGCCGCGUGAAGGAAGAAGUAUCUCGGUAUGUAAACUUCUAUCAGCAGGGAAGAUAAUGACGGUACCUGACUAAGAAGCCCCGGCUAACUACGUG
rnacentral:rRNA from 1 species